rnacentral:rRNA from 1 species
UACGUAGGGUGCGAGCGUUGUCCGGAUUUAUUGGGCGUAAAGAGCUCGUAGGCGGCUUGUCGCGUCAACUGUGAAAACCCGUGGCUCAACCAUGUGGUCUGCAGUCGAUACGGGCAGGCUAGAAUUCGGUAGGGGAGACUGGAAUUCCUGGUGUAGCGGUGAAAUGCGCAGAUAUCAGGAGGAACACCGGUGGCGAAGGCGGGUCUCUGGGCCGAUAUUGACGCUGAGGAGCGAAAGCGUGGGGAGCAAACAGG